AGUUAGAGUCAGCUACAGUGAGAACUCUCUAUGUUUACAUCUCUGGGUUAAGUCAAAACAGCCCCUGGCGUUAUUUUAUCCCAUACACAGGCACCGGGAGGCUAUGCACACGGCAUUUUAAGUAAGGCUCAGCUGGUAAGAAUGCUUGCUACACAAGCAGAAGGACCUGAGUUCAAACCCCCAUCACCUGUGUGAAAAGCCAGGUAUCAAGGCCACUUCCUCCUGUAUCCCCAGGACUGAGGGACUGGGAGGGAGGCAGGAGGAUUGCUGGGGCUUGAAGUCUAGCUCUGGGUUCAGUGAGACACCCUGUCUCAACAGAAUAAGGGAGAGAGUAACAGCUUGUUCAUCUGUGCACACACCACAUACAUACAUAUAAAUAAUAAAAUAACAAAAAUUUAAAAAGAGUAGUCUAUCUUUAAAAAAGACAAAACAAAGCAAAAUAGACUUAGAGGGUAAAGGUAUUUGCCAACGAACCUGACAGCUUUGAUCUCCAGGUUCCACAUGGUCAAAGCAGUCGUCUGACCCCUAUACAUGUACGUACACAUUCACACGCAUAUAGAUACAUGUCCACACUAACUGUGAUUUUUAAAAAUUAAAACAAAAAAAAACGUGCUUAUGUUUUGUUUUAUUUGGUCUUUGUGAACUCCACAGAAGUAAUGUGGAAAUGGUGUGAACUCUGUAGAAGAGGAGUCAUACAGAAGGCAUUGCUGUAUGCUACCUGGCCAUUCCACCCCAUCCCUACCAGACACCCAGAGGCUUCUUUCCCUUGCAAGAAGGACUGACUCAUCUAAUGGAUGGAAGAACUCAGGCAGACCCAAUCAAAGCAGAAAACACACUGCCAUUUAAACAGAAAAGUUCAAUACAAAGUAUGAACAAGGGGCUGGAGAGAUGGUUCAGUGGUUAAAAGCACAGACUGCUCUUCCAGAGGGUCCUGAGUUCAAUUCCUAGCACCCACAUGGUGGCUCACAACCAUAUGUAAUGGGGAUCCGAUGCCCUCUUUUGUGUCCGAAGACAGCAACAGUGUACUCACAUACAUGAAAUAAAUA
rnacentral:lncRNA from 1 species